CAUGUCCGCGCCCAUGAAAUAGCCGAAUGUUUGCAACCACCAGACAAAAAUGUCGUCUGCGGUAUAUAUACGAAGAACUGUUCGCGAAAUUCAAAACAAAUUAAGAAAUGUUAAAUCCAAGGACGAUUAUUUAUCAUGUUUAAGACUCAUUUGCCAAUACAUUCCGCUAAAAAAAUCGGACUCAAAGAAUGAGAAUUUAGAUAAAAAGCCCAUUGACGACGAAAACCAGGAAAUAUUCCUGAAAACUCACUAUAUUCAAAUGUGCAAAUUUCUGUUAGAUAUCAUUUCGAUAGAAAAUGUUGGGCAACUAAGCCAUUCUGAAUUUUCACAGUAUUUCCUUCAUAUCUUCCUUGACGGAUCUUGCGAGAACGCAUUCCUCAUCUUAAUGGACACUAUUGCAAUCACAAGCCCAGGAUAUAAGUUGAAUAAGUGCAUCUUACUUCUAGAAGAGUUUCUAAAAGCCCACAAAGUAGCAAGCAUCCUAUUUGAGCAGAGUGGUUUGAACAAGGUAACAAGUUGCUCUAUGUUUGAAUGGAAGAGACAAGGAAGAAUGUUACAAUGGGAAUCAAUGAUAGUGGAACUGGCAUCAGUACCGGAGAAGAUGGCCAAUAAACUGAAAACUGAAGUAAGUGAGAUAUUUCAACAGCAGCAUUACAUUCCAUUGUUGAUAUCUGACAUCCUGCUCACACUGGGAACAGCAUGCCGCCAUAUACGCCUGUCACGAGAUUGCAGCCUGGAGUUUGUCAGCCACUUGAUUGGAAAGCUUUGCCUUUGUGGAUAUGCUGAUCAGUUUUGGAGACUUGUGCUACGUCAGACGAUGCUGCUGGUGCGUAAAGACUUCAUCUGGAGCCAGGUGAUGGAGACUGUGGUCACAAGAGUGCCUGACCGCUGCAUGGAGAGUGUCCUUGUGCCCCUGGUCAAGUCACUUACAUGGUAUGGUUUGGUGGAUCGUUACCUGGGCAACUGUGUGACGCAGAAUCAGAAGGUCCAGCUUCUCUUAUGUACAAAGCUCAUCUUCCACAGGCACUACAAGUCUCCUCAAGUCCUUCAGAAUGUCAUAGGUUACUUAGCAACAGGACCAACAAGACAGUACUUGUAUAUCAAGAUGUUAAAGGAGCUAGUGCAGGUGUGGGGGGAUGAGAGCGCGAUGAGGCACACGUCAUACGAGCAGCACGUGUACCUGACACAGGCCCUUGUCAUCUCUAUUGCCUUCCUCACAGAGUCACUCAAACACGAACACAAGGAUGAGUUGCUGAGAUACCUUCUUGUGAGUGUGCAGAACCACCUAGGGUUCUCUGACGGGAAGGUACGCAGACUUGGCAUGCUGGUUGGAGAAAUUGUCACCCGUCGUCUUGAACCUGAUGGCCCAGAACUCAGGUUUGAGGUGGAGGAGGAUGAGGAGGUUAAAGCCCUAAAAUCCCUGCUGGACAUCCCAACUGACCCCUUUAUAGAUGACCUCACUGAUGAGCUGUGUAUGAUGCUGUCUGAACGUGGUACGGAGGUGGCUCUGUCUGGACUGGAAGAGAUGGUCAGUCCAUCAGAGAAACAUGUGCCAACCCCGCCAGUCACCCAGCCUGAUCCUCCCUCCGACCUUGAUAGUGAUGAUGACCUUGAGCCAUAUGACAUGUCACAUGAUACAGACAAGGUGAAGGUCAGACAGCCGAAGUACAUCCGUGACUGCAUGGAAGACUUGAUAGGUAAUGAGGGUCCAGAGAGGGUAGAACAGGCUCUUAAAGCAGCCGAGGGGCUUAUCAGGGGGAAACCAUAUGGGGUCGCUGAGGUGAGUGUGGAGUUCACAAAGGUCCUCGUACAUCUUGCAGAUGAGUACUCACUUCCUGACUUCCGCACGAUCAGGUUCAGCACCCUCGUAGCACUCGCUGUUACAGCACCAGAACAGGUUGCCAGUUACCUUUCUGAGCAGUUUUAUGACAAAAACUACAACAUCAGACAGCGCCUGGAUAUCAUAGAGGUGCUGGGGACAGCUGCCCAGGAGCUGUCUCGCCCCACUGACCCUGCUGCCAAGGGAGACAACCUGCCCAAGCCCAAGGUCCAGGAAUUGACUGCCUCCAGCACAGAACCGGAAAGCUGGCAGGACGUAGUACAGCGGAGAAUUGAGAGUAAAACCCGGCGGUUUGGGCAGGGGCGGAGCAAGCCAGAGGCCACCCCCAUGGAGAACCGUUUUGCCCCCGUGGCUGGACACUUCUUCUACCCGCUCAUGGGGAACUUUGACAGACCUGAGAACACAUUUGACCUGAUGGGUGAGGACUGUUAUGUACUUGGGCGCCUCAUGUACACCCUGGGUAUUGUCAUGUACGCUGCUGCUAACUCACCGCCAGCCCGACAGAUGGCCAGUGCCCUGCUCGAGUUUAUCUGGGUUCUCAGGUUUCACGGAGACAGUAAGGUACGACAGGGCCUGUUGUUUGCUGUGUCAAUGAUUUACCUCUCCGUUCCACCUCACGUUCUCCUAAACGACCUGCAACAGGAAGUGUUCGAGUCCAAAAACUGGCUUGAAGAUGUGAUAGACAAGGAUGUGAAUGUGCAAUGUAAGACCCUGGCUGUGCAGGCUCUUGUUCUACUGGAGAACAUCAUUAAACAGGUAUGGCUGGUUGAAUCUCUAGAAUAAACCAUCCAAUGUGCAAUGUAAGGCCCUGGCUGUGCAGGCUCUUGUCCUACUGGAGAACAUCAUUAAACAGGUAUGGCUGGUUGAAUCUCUAGAAUUGCCAUCCAAUGUGCAAUGUAAGGCCCUGGCUGUGCAGGCUCUUGUCCUGCUGGAGAACAUCAUUAAACAGGUAUGGCUGGUUGAAUCUCUAGAAUAUACCAUCCAAUGUGCAAUGUAAGACCCUGGCUGUGCAGGCUCUUGUCCUGCUGGAGAACAUCAUUAAAUAGGUAUGGCUGGUUGAAUCUCUAGAAUAUACCAUCCAAUGUGCAAUGUAAGGCCCUGGCUGUGCAGGCUCUUGUCCUACUGGAGAACAUCAUUAAACAGGUAUGGCUGGUUGAAUCUCUAGAAUAAACCAUCCAAUGUGCAAUGUAAGACCCUGGCUGUGCAGGCUCUUGUCCUGCUGGAGAACAUCAUUAAAUAGGUAUGGCUGGUUGAAUCUCUAGAAUAAACCAUCCAAUGUGCAAUGUAAGGUCCUGGCUGUGCAGGCUCUUGUCCUGCUGGAGAACAUCAUUAAACAGGUAUGGCUGGUUGAAUCUCUAGAAUAUACCAUCCAAUGUGCAAUGUAAGGCCCUGGCUGUGCAGGCUCUUGUCCUACUGGAGAACAUCAUUAAACAGGUAUGGCUGGUUGAAUCUCUAGAAUAAACCAUCCAAUGUGCAAUGUAAGGCCCUGGCUGUGCAGGCUCUUGUCCUGCUGGAGAACAUCAUUAAACAGGUAUGGCUGGUUGAAUCUCUAGAAUAUACCAUCCAAUGUGCAAUGUAAGGCCCUGGCUGUGCAGGCUCUUGUCCUACUGGAGAACAUCAUUAAACAGGAGUUCCUGUCAGAGCCAGACUUCAACUGAAGGCAGUGGAAAUUCACCUGUAUGGUUGGUCUACAUGGACAAUGUCAUAUCUGAAUCAAAGUGGACUUGCAACUUAGCAAGCUGCCAUGGACAGAAGUGGCUUGUGUAACGUCAAAACUGGCAUGGUGUUCUAUGGAAGAGCCUCACUUGUGAACAUUCAGAUUGGAGUUGGUGGAUAGAGCAUAUGCAGCAUGGAUGAAGGAUAAUGUUGAAGUGCUUUCUGACAUAUCACUGACAUGUAGGCAUGCUCUGUGAAUAACUGUUACUUUGGGUGGUGAUGUAAACAUAAAACGGCAACAUCGCUUAAAUUAGAAACCCCUUUUUCUAAGGCUGUCAGACUUCUUUAAUUUUUGCUGCUUUCCAGUUGUUGUUUCCUAAAAUGAAUAAACAAGAAUGCCAUAUCAAGUUCAUAACUUGAAAGAGCAGAUAUUCAAAUAAAAAGAAACCAUGUUGUAGUGUUUAUAAAGAUCAAAGCAAAAAUAUGUAUUCACUUCAUGUUUUUCAGGACUGAACUUGGUAAAAUAUUGAUGCCUGAUUUUAUCGUCUGUUAUUGAGUACAUAUUGUCAUUUGUUUAUUAAGUUGCAAAAAUAUCUUAUAAUAAUCAUUGAUGGUAGAUUUUGUCCAAUGGCAGGUAUUUAGACUACAUUGUUGAGACAUAUGAGAUCUUGAUGUUCCAGUUAUGUUAUAAUUAUAACAGUUAUCGUCUUUAAAUACCAAAUUUUUACUUUGUUAUAGACAUUGAAGUAAAAUAAAAUAUGU